CUCCACUUAAGUCAUUUGGCUGAUACAACUCCUUACACAAUCUUUAGCUUCAUUUAGAAGAGUAAAAGCCUCACUCCCCCUCCAUCUCCUCUCCAUUUCGUCCCUCCUCCCUUCCCCCACUCUCACAACUUUUCUCCCACCAUUAUCACACUCCAUAGAAGCCCUUGAAGCCCCAAGAGAAGUAUCAAAGCAAGGGAGAGCGUGGGAAAACUAGGGCGUAAAGUUAGAGUGAAGGUUGUGCUUCGAGGGAAUUGGUCCGCAGGACGGUGCCACAGCUUAAGAUCACCUCUCUCUUCCACACCGAAGAUCAGGUUAAUGGAGCCGGGCGCAGCGGGGGCUAGGUGGUGGUGGUGGUCUGGAGCUGUCAAUAAGGUUUCUCGAUGAAAUUUAUUUCCCAUAACCUCGAUCACCAAACAUUUCAUUUUGUUAGUUACGCCCUACGUGGCAAUUAUGAACUUGUUUACUGCUUUGUCUAAACAACUAAACAAUUGAGUUGCUCUUGGGCACUCAAACACCGUGAUAACGAACUCUCUGGACUUGACCGGAGUUCUCAUACUUCGUGUCAAGUCGGGUUUUCCUUUGAGCAGGACGAUUAAAGAAUAGGUUCAUUAAUUCCGCUAA